UACGGGGGGUGCGAGCGUUGUUCGGAUUUAUUGGGCGUAAAGCGCGUGCAGGCGGUUUGUUAAGUCUGAUGUGAAAGCCCCGGGCCCAACCCGGGAAGUGCAUUGGAUACUGGCAGACUUGAGUACGGGAGAGGAGAGUGGAAUUCCUGGAGAAGGGGUGAAAUCCGCAGAUAUCAGGAAGAACACCGGCGGCGAAGGCGGCUCUCUGGACCGAUACUGACGCUGAGACGCGAAAGCAUGGGGAGCAAACAGG
rnacentral:rRNA from 1 species